AUCCAAAAAUCCCUUCACCACCACUUGGGAUUCUGACUCUUUAGCACCCUGUUCUUGCCCUUAAGUUUGGUUAUUACAGUUACAUGGGAUGUGUUGCUCUCAAUCCAUUAGAGCAAAUAUAUUGACUGGAGGAAAAUAGGCAAUGUGCAAAGUAAGUCACUUGUACAGGGAGCCAGUCCAAAGCCAAUUUCUGACAAGGAUUAUCCUUAGCUGAAUACCUCCAGGGACACAGAAGGGCCACAUGGCAUCAAGCAGCACUUUCUAAAGUGGUUUCAAUGAAUAUAUAACAAAGCCAAACAGUGCCCUCCCAGAAGGCGGCUUUUCAACACGCAUCCUGCUGCAAAUCACAAAGCAUCUCCUAGUGUGGCUUCUCCGUUGAGGCCCUUUCUUGUCUCUGGACAUUCUUUGUACCAAUAAAGAAUAAAGGACAUGGCUGAGAGUUCCA